rnacentral:rRNA from 1 species
UAAGGAAUAUUGCUCAAUGGGAGAAAUCCUGAAGCAGCAACGCCGCGUGGAGGAUGAAGGGUCUAUGACUUGUAAACUCCUGUAAAGAAGGAAAAAAUUCCCAUUUGAUGGGAGAUGAUGGUACUUCUGGAGUAAGCCCCGGCUAACUACGUGCCAGCAGCCGCGGUAAUACGUAGGGGGCAAGCGUUGUCCGGAUUUACUGGGUGUAAAGGGUGCUCAGGCGGAUUUGUAAGUCAGAGGUGAAAUCUUACAGCUUAACUGUGAAACGGCCUUUGAUACUGCAAGCCUAGAGUAUGGAAGGUAGGGAUGGAAUACCUGGUGUAGCAGUGAAAUGCGUAGAUAUCAGAUAGAACACCAAUGGCGAAGGCAGUCACUUGGUCCAUUACUGACGCUAAAGCACGAAAGCGUGGGUAGCAAACA